CUCCCACCUAGCUAUCUUAUGAUGGCACUAAGUUUAGGUCAAUAAAAAGGUUAUGUAAUUGUCAACACAACAUAAACUUGAGGUACAACAGAAAAUUAUCUUCAUUUAGUUCACCUGUUGUUGAAUUUCUUAAUACUGUAGUUCAAUUACUUAGUGGAACUAUAAUGUGUAUAACAAGGGAAAGGACAAGUUUAAAGGAGAGCAUUGGCAUUUGGGGAUGUACAUGUAAGCUUAGAUUUUUGUUUACUCACUUAAUAAAUAUAUUAAAUUAGACUAAUGUAGAAGUUAAUAAUAUAUAGUUUAGUUCAGUCCAAACCACAAACCUGUCAAUUGGUAUGCUAAAUAAUAAGUUGAUACUCAGCUCCUGCUUCGAUUCAAGUAAAGGCUGGUUACCCCAUAAAAUAGUUAACACCCCUUUGGUCUAUGUUCAAUUUUUUUUUAUCCCGUAGCUUGGACUUUAAGGUAGCAUGGCUCUGUUGCUGUCAUUUUAUAUUUCAUUGACAGCAGUUUACAGCUGAUGAAUGUUACACAUCUUACUAGAAUAGAAAAUCCAUUGAAAAAAAAGUGUUGGUUUAAGAAAAAAAAAUCUAAAAGGAAAAAAAAAACGACCUGGAAGGUGUUGUUAUUUGGAGUGUAAUACCGUAUCCAUUUAAACUUGAAUUUUGAGGCAAGUGCUAGGCAAUGGCCAAUCAUUUCAUCCCACCAUCCAUGAAUCACCUGUGUUCAGUAAUCUGUGUAUUCAUUCGUUACGUUGUACUGUUUGUACACAUGUCAGAUCUUUAUAUAUUCCUCAUGUGAACAUGUUUGACUAGAUGAGAAUAGUGAUCCCUCUGUAUCCUAGACACAGCAAAACCCUAUCUCCCACGGGUCUGUUUAACUUAUUAGCAAACACUGUUUUCAUCCCUCGCUGUUAAAACAGUCAACGUUAUGGUGAGCUUGUGUGCUCUUUUGGCAUUGCAUUGUCUUCAAAUUGUAACAGAACCUUGUUCGGAAGUCUUGCAUAGGUAAUACAUUACAGAUUACUGUUACCCAAUGACUGAGUCAUCCUCUGGUUUCUUUUGGAUAGUCUUAACGUGUGUGGAUCACAUUGAGUGGCUGUUAUACCAGUCUGUAACGUGUGAGGAAAUGUGGGGAGUGACGACUACACAACUCCGUAAUGAGGCUAUUGUCCUUCCACAUAACAUCCACUGUUUUCCAGAGUAGAGGAGCAGCCACGCUGAGCUCUCCUCACUGAUCUGCUGUCUGCUCCUGAUUUGCCUUGCCCAUUCCUAACACUUGCCCAUUUUUUAACGUUAACAGACUUUUUACGGCGAGAGACUGACAGAACUGACUGACGUCUGAAAGCAUCUUUCAGGUCUUCUUGUAUGGCUUGCUCAAGCCCUGUUGUAAAAUAAAACUAAAAUGGAUGGGGGUCUCUCACAUCUCAGAUGUGGAGAGUAUAAUUUUAUAUUUGUAUUUUCAAAUAAUAAUAAUGAUGAAAAAAAUGUUUGUGAAAGGUUUCCAUCCUCUACUGUGGUCCAGAAAUCGAUGUGUCUGUCUGGAAAAAAAAAUAAAAAUAAAAUGAACUGUUUUAUUCCUGUUUUCAUUAUUAUUUUUCAUUUCCUUAUCUGUUGUAAGAAUGUAUUGUUACUUUUGGCAGUCAUAUUAAACUCUCAAUAUCUUAAUCAUUUUAACUAAAUCAUUUUAAGAAGGCAUUGAAAGGGGG
ensembl:lncRNA